rnacentral:rRNA from 1 species
GAUGAACGCUGGCGGCGUGCCUAAUACAUGCAAGUCGAGCGAACAGAUGAGGAUCUUGCUCCUCUGACGUUAGCGGCGGACGGGUGAGUAACACGUGGAUAACCUACCUAUAAGACUGGGAUAACUUCGGGAAACCGGAGCUAAUACCGGAUAAUAUAUUGAACCGCAUGGUUCAAUAGUGAAAGACGGUUUUGCUGUCACUUUUAGAUGUUUCCGCGCCGCAUUAGCUAGUUGGUAAGGUAACGGCUUACCAAGGCAACGAUGCGUAGCCGACCUGAGAGGGGGAGAGGCCACACUGGAACGGAGACACGGUCAAGACUCCUACGGGAGGCAGCAGUAGGGAAUCUUCCGCAAUGGGCGAAAGCAUGACGGAGCAACGCCGCGUGAGUGAUGAAGGUCUUCGGAUCGUAAAACUCUGUUAUUAGGGAAGAACAAAUGUGUAAGUAACUAUGCACGUCUUGACGGUACCUAAUCAGAAAGCAACGGCUAACUACGUG